UGCAUGUCGAGCGAAGUUCUUUGAACUUAGCGGCGAAUGGGUGAGUAACACGUACUUAACAUGCCCUUUAGAUUGGGAAAACGAUGAGAAAUUAUCCCUUAUAACGGAUACUUAUAUGGAACGCAUGUUCUAUAUAUAAAAGGAGCCUUAAAGCUUCACUAAAGGAUUGGGGUGCGUAACAUUAGCUAGUUGGUAGGGUAAUGGCCUACCAAGGCUAUGAUGUUUAACGGGGUUGAGAGACUGAACCGUCACACUGGGACUGAAAUACGGCCCAGACUCCUACGGGAGGCAGCAGUAGGGAAUUUUCCACAAUGGACGAAAGUCUGAUGGAGCGACACAGCGUGCAGGAUGAAGGCCUUCGGGUUGUAAACUGCUGUUAUUUAGGAUGAAAAAAUAGUAGAGGAAAUGCUAUGUAUCUUUACUGUACUAUAUCAGAAAGCAACGGCUAACUAUGUGCCAGCAGCCGCGGUAAUACAUAGGUUGCAAGCGUUAUCCGGAAUUAUUGGGUGUAAAGCGUCUGUAGGUUGUAUGUUAAGUCUGACGUCAAAACUUGGGGCUCAACCCCAAAUCGCGUUGGAUACUGGCAUACUAAAAUUGCAUAGAGGUUAACGGAAUUCCUUGUGAAGCGGUGAAAUGCGUAGAUAUAAGGAAGAACACCAACAUGGCGAAGGCAGUUAACUGGGUGCAUAUUGACACUGAGAGACGAAAGCGUGGGGAGCAAACAGGAUUAGAUACCCUGGUAGUCCACGCCCGUAAACGAUGAUGAUUAGCUAAUAGGGAUGAAGCUAUUGGCGCAACUAACGCAAUUGAUCAUCCACCUGAGUAGUAUGCUCGCAAGAGUGAAACUUAAAGGAAUUGACGGGGAUCCGCACAAGCGGUGGAGCAUGUGGUUUAAUUUGAAGAUACGCGUAGAACCUUACCCACUCUUGACAUCUUCCGCAAAGCUAUAGAGAUAUAGUGGAGGUUAACGGAAUGACAGAUGGUGCAUGGUUGUCGUCAGCUC
rnacentral:rRNA from 1 species